rnacentral:rRNA from 1 species
GACGAACCGUGCGAACGUUGUUCGGAAUCACUGGGCUUAAAGGGCGCGUAGGCGGACAGUUUAGUCAGAGGUGAAAGCCCAGGGCUCAACCUUGGAAUUGCCUUUGAUACUGGCUGUCUUGAGUUCGGGAGAGGUGAGUGGAAUGCCGAGUGUAGAGGUGAAAUUCGUAGAUAUUCGGCGGAACACCAGUGGCGAAGGCGACUCACUGGCCCGAUACUGACGCUGAGGCGCGAAAGCGUGGGGAGCAAACAGGG